rnacentral:rRNA from 1 species
UACUAGAGUAGCACUCGCAUAUCAAUAAGCGGAGGAAAAGAAACUAACAAGGAUUCCCCUAGUAACGGCGAGUGAAGCGGGAAGAGCUCAAAUUUGAAAUCUUAAAGGGUUUCCCUUUACGAAUUGUAGUUUAAAGAAGUGUUUUCUGUUGAGGUUUUGGUAAAAGUUCUUUGGAAUAGGACAUCAUAGAGGGUGAGAAUCCCGUAUUUGACCUUUACUUUCAACUUUGUGAUACACUUUCAAAGAGUCGGAUUGUUUGGGAAUGCAGUCCAAAAUGGGUGGUAAAUUUCAUCUAAAGCUAAAUAUUGGCGAGAGACCGAUAGCGAACAAGUACCGUGAGGGAAAGAUGAAAAGAACUUUGAAAAGAGAGUUAAACAGUACGUGAAAUUGUCAAAAGGGAAGCGUUUGACACCAGUGUUGUUUUUCUGAAAAUCAAUUAAAGAACUGUUUAUGCUAAGUUGUUUAGACUUUAUCAGCUAACUGUUUAGUUUUGAGCUUUUCUUUAAUGCACUUUUCAGUUAACAAGUCAACAUCAAUUUCUUUUGCUGUAAAAAAGCUUGAGGAAGGUGGCUUGAGAUUCGUCUUAAGUGUUUAUAGCCUCUUGCCUAUGCAGUCGGAGAGAUUGAGGUCUGCAGCGUAGAUCCUUCGGGGCUAAAUGCAUUUGUGCUAAGUUAUAGCAUUUUAUAGACAACUUGUUGACUAUGAUUUGUCUUGUAGCUUACUCGCUUAUGUUAUUUUACCUACGCUUAGGAUGUUGAUCUACAGAGCGAGAGU